CGCCGCUCCCGCGCUUCUCCCUGCGCCUCAAGCCCCUAGGGCAGGCGCUAGGCGUUCCGGAUUGUCGCGCCCUCCGCCUGGUUCGGCAGGAGCAUGAAGAGACUAUUCUCCAGUAUUCACAGUGAGAACUUGGUGGGCAUCCUGGAGGUAAAACACAAAAGUGUGAAGACCUUCUGAGACUGAGCACCCAAGAGUUUUAAACUGUCAAGUUUGUCUACACUGAGUCUCAACAAUUCAUGAAUUAUUACAUGUUUGUAUGUUGCUAAAAAUACUGGCUUCAUCUGUGGUCCUCUGAACCUGGGCUUUAGUUUCUAGAAUUGAGAAUAAAUUGUGAUUAUCUGUCU
ensembl:lncRNA novel transcript